rnacentral:rRNA from 1 species
GAUGAACGCUGGCGGCGUGCCUAAUACAUGCAAGUCGAGCGAACAGAUGAGGAGCUUGCUCCUCUGACGUUAGCGGCGGACGGGUGAGUAACACGUGGAUAACCUACCUAUAAGACUGGGAUAACUUCGGGAAACCGGAGCUAAUACCGGAUAAUAUAUUGAACCGCAUGGUUCAAUAGUGAAGGACGGUUUUGCUGUCACUUAUAGAUGGAUCCGCGCCGCAUUAGCUAGUUGGUAAGGUAACGGCUUACCAAGGCAACGAUGCGUAGCCGACCUGAGAGGGUGAUCGGCCACACUGGAACUGAGACACGGUCCAGACUCCUACGGGAGGCAGCAGUAGGGAAUCUUCCGCAAUGGGCGAAAGCCUGACGGAGCAACGCCGCGUGAGUGAUGAAGGUCUUCGGAUCGUAAAACUCUGUUAUUAGGGAAGAACAAAUGUGUAAGUAACUAUGCACGUCUCGACGGUACCUAAUCAGAAAGCCACGGCUAACUACGUG